CCUACGGGAGGCAGCAGUGGGGAAUAUUGCGCAAUGGGCGAAAGCCUGACGCAGCGACGCCGCGUGAGGGAUGAAGGUCUUCGGAUCGUAAACCUCUGUCAGCAGGGAAGAACGGUCACUGUGCUAAUCAGCAGUGAAUUGACGGUACCUGCAAAGGAAGCACCGGCUAACUCCGUGCCAGAAGCCGCGGUAAUACGGAGGUUUCGAGCGUUUAUCGGAAUUACUGGGUGUAAAUCGCGCGUAGGCGGUAUGUCAAGUCAAGUGUGAAAUCCCCGGGCCCAACGGGGGAAGUGCCUUGGAAACUGGCAAACUGGAGUGUGUGAGAGGAUAGUGGAAUUCCAGGUGUAGGAGUGAAAUCCGUAGAUAUCUGGAGGAACAUCAGUGGCGAAGGCGACUAUCUGGCACAUAACUGACGCUGAGGAGCGAAAGCGUGGGUAGCAAACAGGAUUAGAUACCCGUGUAGUC
rnacentral:rRNA from 1 species